UGAACUUUUAAUUGUAAACAUUAUGCCUUAAAACCUCUUUAUCAGAAGUAGCAUUGUGGAGCACAGCUUGCAGCUGAUGCUGUAAACUCCAUUAGCCUGCAACAUCGACACGAGGGAAAUCCUCUUCAUUACACCCAGACACUGAACGCACCUCUUCACCUUUGCACGGCGUGUCAUUUGAUCUCCAAAUGCCUCUGCAGAUUAUUGUACUCCAAUACUACUACACGGCACCUUUGCAAACGUUAUGCUCUCAGCAGUAUGUAUUACAUUGCAUUAGAAAGGUUAAACUAUCAACAAACCGAACGUUUUAAUCAUAAAAUACAUCAGGCACAUUCACGCCCAGCUGCAGGCCUCCUGCUCAUUCAAGGCAGUGAAUCUCUAAUGGAGGCAGUUUCAUGCGGGUGUGCAGCUGCUGGUAGACUGAAGUUACAGGUUGAAAGAGACAUCGGUUGCAGAAUAAGAAGCACAUCUUGCCAGUACCACAGUCCCGCUCCCAGAUAAGUGUUGAAACAAUAAUGAAGCAGAGCUCGGAGAGCUUUUCUUGGGAAAAGCACUUUUGGGAUGUGUCCACUUAGUACAGAAAUACC